rnacentral:rRNA from 1 species
UAGGCUGCAACUCGCCUACACGAAGUCGGAGUCGCUAGUAAUCGCGGAUCAGCAUGCCGCGGUGAAUACGUUCCCGGGCCUUGUACACACCGCCCGUCACACCAUGGGAGUUUGUAACGCCCAAAGUCGGUGGCCUAACCUUUAUGGAGGGAGCCGCCUAAGGCGGGACAGAUGACUGGGGUGAAGUCGUAACAAGGUAAC